CCCGCACAAGCGGUGGAGCAUGUGGUUUAAUUCGACGCGACGCGAAGAACCUUUACCUGGGUUUGACAUCCUUUGACCGCCCUGGAAACAGGGUUUAUCCCGAUUCGUCGGAACAGAGUGACAGGUGCUGCAUGGCUGUCGUCAGCUCGUGUCGUGAGAUGUUGGGUUAAGUCCCGCAACGAGCGCAACCCUUGUCUCUAGUUGCCAGUAUUAAGUUAGGGACUCUAGAGAGACUGCCUCGGUUAACGGGGAGGAAGGUGGGGAUGACGUCAAGUCCUCAUGGCCUUUAUACCCAGGGCUACACACGUGCUACAAUGGGCUGCACAAAGGGUCGCUAGCUCGCGAGGUGGAGCAAAUCCCAAAAAACCGGCCUCAGUGCGGAUUGCAGUCUGCAACUCGACUGCAUGAAGUUGGAAUCGCUAGUAAUCGCAGAUCAGCACGCUGCGGUGAAUACGUUCCCGGGCCUU
rnacentral:rRNA from 1 species